GCCAACCCGAAGAAGUGUGCGGUUGGGCGGGUGGAGGUCAGGUAUCUGGGCUUCCACUUGGGUCAUGGGCAGGUGCGUCCCCAAAUUAACAAGACGGCAGCGGUUGCGACCUGCCCGAGGCCUAAGACCAAAAAGGAGGUGAGACAGUUUCUGGGGCUGGCGGGAUAUUACAGGAGGUUUGUGCCCAAUUAUUCAGAGCUUGCCAGCCCGCUGACUGAUCUCACUAAAAAGGAGGCACCAGAUCCGGUCCAGUGGACGGAGCAGUUCCAGCAGGCCUUUACCCAAGUGAAGGCUGCCCUGUGUGGCGGGCCGCUCCUACACUCGCCUAAUUUUUCUCUCCCCUUUUUUCUGCAGACCGACGCGUCGGACAGAGGGCUGGGGGCAGUCCUGUCCCAGGACAUGGGGGGAGAGGAACGGCCGGUGCUGUAUAUUAGCCGCAAACUCUCGAAGAGGGAGGCGAAGUACAGCACCAUCGAGAAAGAGUGUCUGGCGAUCCGGUGGGCCGUUCUCACCCUCUGGUAUGUUUCCCUGGUUGUUCCUCUGUUGUCUGUUGUUGAUCACGGAAUGGGACCGGGUUGGACCUGCACGGUUUCGGUGGGUGGGGCUUCCUGGGUAGCGGCUCAUGGGCUCUCCCUAUUCUUCGUGGACGUUGCUCGGUGGCUUUGGUCGGGGUCACUGAGUGCAGCUAUGACACGUCAGAGGAGAUCUGGCCCUCCCGGCUGAGCCUGGUUUCUCCCGAGGUUUUUUUUUCUCCAUUAUUCAUCAUUGGAGUUUGGGUUCCUCACCACAGCAGAGCAGUGCAGUGUUGGCUUGCUCACCAGGAGACUGCAUUUAUUUAUUUAUUCAUUUAUUUAUUAGAUAUUUACUAUAAUGAUCUUGCUUGGUCUAUAAACACCAUGCACUGUGCUGUGUUUUACCUUUCUGUGUUUUUCUAAUUUGCUCCUGUAAAGCUGCUUUGGAACAAUGCACAUUGUGAAAAGCGCUAUAUAAAUAAAAUUGAAUUUAACUGAAUUGGUAUUAUCUCCUGGGGCGGGAGUUCACCCUCUGGUCGGAUCACGCUCCCCUCCAAUGGCUCCACCGCAUGAAAGAUACCAACGCGCGGAUCACCCGUUGGUAUCUGGCCUUACAACCGUUCAAAUUCAAGGUGAUCCACAGGCCGGGGGCGCAGAUGGCUGUGGCCGACUUCCUCUCCAGGCGAAGGGGGAGGGGGGAGGCUGCAGGCCGGAUGGCUCCCCGGCCUGAGUCGGGUGGUGGGGUUAUGUGGCAAGGGGGGUGUGAUUUAGCGAGGUCUGCAGUGAGAGAGAAGGCUGAGAGAAGAGCGGUGAGUAAAUGGGGUGCGAAGUGCAAAUGAUGAACACCUGUCCUCUAUUCCAGUAAUUGGUGUGGGGACGCUUAAAAGUAGCUCGGAGACAGAAGCCAGGUGUGUGAGAACCAGCAGAGACUACUGCAGAGAGAGAGAGAGCUCGAGACGAGGAGUGCUUCACGAGAGGAUCGUCAGCUCCGGUUAAAAACUGAGACUGUGAACAGAGGCGUGUAGCACCAUCAUUCAAGUAACGUGUGUGUGAUAAUAAAAGACAUUUUUCUGCAGUAGUCAACCCGACCCCGACCUCUUCCUUCUCACCCUACACGAACAUACUACAAAUACAUUUUAUCACACAAUUAAAAAUGUGUUUCUUUAAAAACGUUAUCAAACUACUUUUACAUAGUAUAUAUAUAGUUUUAAAUAAAAUAUUAUUUACUCAAAAAUACCUGUUCAAUGAUCUCCUUGAUGACCCCUCUGCAAACAUUUAAGCACAGGGCUGCAUCCAGGUUAGGUAGAGACUUAAACCUUGGAUCAAGGAAUGAUGCUCUGUUGAGAUAGUCCUGAAGGUCAGGAUCUGUGUAUCUGCUUUUUAAGUCCUCAGUGAUGGCUGCCUUGGCAUCUUCUAUGGCUGGACUGUCAUGAUCUGCAGGAUCCAUUGAUUGUAGUAUCAUUUUCUUUAGAGGGAGGACCAUUGAGAGAAAGGGAGCUGUUUCUGUGCUCAAGAGAGUGGUGGUUGUCUUAAGGCAGUGGUCACCAACCCUGCUCCUGGAGAUCGACCGUCCUGAAGAUUUCAGCUCCAACCCCAAUCAAACACACCUGAACUAUCUAAUCAAGGUGUUUAGGUUUGCUUGAUAAUUACAGACAGGUGUGCUGAAGCAGGGUUGGAGCUGCAGUCUGCAGGACGGUCGAUCUCCAGGAACAGGGUUGGUGACCACUGUCUUAAGGGGUUUAAGCAGUUGAAUCAUUUCCUGAAUCAUUGAACUGACACUGGCAGACAACACAGCAAUGUCCUUGACAUUCUUCUUAAUAUUUUUGUCCAUCGGGGCAGAGUAUAUGGCAGGCUGCUGCUCCAGAUAUCUCUCCAUCAUGUCAUAAAUGGUGUUCCAGCGAGUUGGGGUUUCAUGUAUUGCUUUGUGUGCAUGUAUAUUCAACAUCUCCUGCUUGACUUUCAGGACAUUAGCUGCCGUUGUGCCUUUAUGAAAAAAUGCUACAACUUUUCUGACCUUACCUAAGACGGCUUAUCUGUUGAAGUGCUACUGCCUUCUUUGUUAGAAGGUUCAGAAUAUGCGCAAAACAUCCAAUUUGCGGUCCUAGUCCUGCUGCUUCUUUAAUGGCAUUCACCAUAUUACGUGCAUUAUCUGUAUUGACUGGAAUGGUGAUAUUAGGUCUCGAAGGAAUUUCAUAACGCGGUUCAAGCGUCUUAAUCAAAUUCUGGAAUCCCGCAUUGUCAACGACGGAAUAUGGCUGUAUGUCUUUUGCAAUAAAAACAGCCAGCGCUUUUGGUAUGGUCUUGUGUUUGUCAGAAUGAGAGCGUAGUGCCUGUUUAAAUGCAGAAGGCAGUGUGUGCUGAAACUGCUUCAGUCUCACCUGCGCUCGAGAGCUGUUGACAACCGGGUGAUGACGGCGUAAAUGUCCGGUCAUAUUAGAUGUAUUGCCUUGGGAGUAUGGCACUCACGUCAUACAAAUUGUACACACUGUGGCUGUUUUGUCCACGUUUUUGUUACCAUCGCUGCUGUAAUGUAUUGGAAACCCAAAAUGUUCCCAGACAGCAGACUUGUAUGAAGCUGGAGGCGGCUCUAUUUGCGGCUUAUCCCCUUCGCUUGUCAUGCUGAACUGCAGCAGACCUUACUGAACACGUGAUGAACGGUGAUGUCAGCAACAAAUGAGCAUACUAACAACAGCUGAUUGGUAAGACACUCUCACUUAAAAUGCACGUGGAGCUUAGGCUAUUCAUCGGAAGCAUAUACGCAAGAUUUAUGCGCCUUUUCCCGACAAAACUGUAUUAUAGAUGCGACAUCAGAGCAAUCACGGUCCACAUGCAUGCCGAACCGUGAAAGGAGAACCGAAUGGUUCGAUGUUUUACCGAGAACCGUUACACCCCUAGAAGAAGUCUACCAAUUGUUGUUGAUUGUCUCUUACCAUUUCUUCUGGGGGCUCCAACACCAUCAUUUUGUGCCACAAAGAAGAGGCGGCCAGAUUAUUACAGAUCAGACUCUUCCCCUGUAGGAAAGCUGGGGUAGCAUCCAAUGCCAGUGAGAAAGCUGAGCACACACUUUCUCCACAAGCCCCUCCCAGUUUUGCUUCUUGUGCUCAUCAGUUCCUAAAAACACACCUAAAUAUUUAAAACCUGCCCUUCCCCAUUGCAACCCCCCAGGAAAGUAAAGGACCUUUAAUGUCCUGUCCACACCAUAAUGCGUCACUCUUUGUUCACUUUCGUAGAGGAAGCUUUACCAUACCGUUCCAGGCUUUCUUUUAAAAAAUAAAUGUCUCCAGAGUCUCUGAUUAAGACCGUAACAUCUGCAUAAACAGAAAGAUUAACAGACUGCUGGGGCAUAAGUGUAUUAAUCUGUAAACCCGUUAGCUCUCUUCUUAAUGUACAAAGCAGAGGUUCAAUGAGAAUGCUAUACAUUAGCCCAGAAAGAGGACAACCUUGUCUGAUACCCCUCUGAACCUUUAUUGGGACGCUAAGGCCGCCAGCAAUCUUAAUUAAACAAGUGACUUUAGAAUAAAGCAUUCUGACUAGUGAGAUACAAUGAUCUCCAAACCCGAAGGCUGUAAGCAUCUCAAAGAGAUAGACAUGAUCUACCCUAUCAAAAGCUUUUUCCUGGUCCAGUGACAAGAACCCCACAUUACUAUUGUUAAAUGACGCAAAGUCAAAAAGAUCUCUCACAAUAGAUCUCCCUUUUAUGCAAUAUGACCUUAUGUAUGAUUUGUUGCAUCACAGUAUUUAAUCUUUUGGCUAAGCAUUUAGAGAGAAUCUUAUACUCUGAACAUAAAAGUGCCAAGGCACAGGCCUCCAGUUCUUUAACAUAUUUAAAUCCCCUUUUUUGGGAAGCAAUGUUAACACUGCACGCUGACAACUCUUAGGAAGACUUCCUUCGUUGAUGGAUUCUUGAAGUAUGUUAAAAAAGUAAUUACCAAUAACAGUCCACAAGCUCCUAUAGAACUCGAUAGGGAGACCAUCUAUUCCUGGUGUGCGACCUAGAGAGAGUUCCAUCACCGAUGCAGUCACUUCAUCAAAAGUAAGUCUCUUUUCCAAGGUUCCUUUCUGUUCUGCGGUUAAAACAGGGAGAUCUUGUAGGAGGUGUUUUCUAAAAUGUUGGUUUGUAUUAUCAGCAGCAUAAAAAGUAGAGUAAAAAUCCACUGCCGGUCUGCGCAUCUGCACUGGGUCAGAAGUAGUACGCCCAGUAUUAUCCUUCAGACAGUACAUUUGUUUGUCCUGACCGGUUUUGCAUUCCAAGUUAAAGAAAAAUGAGGUGGGUGCGUCCAUGUCUCUCACCCUCAAGAAUCUGCUCCUUAUAAGUGCACCUUUCACUUUUUAAUUCAGAAUAGAGUUCAAAGACAGUGUUUUUUUCAGUCCACUUUUCCUGUAAUUCAUUGGAAUUAGUAACAGUCAUGUUUCUCUCAAUGGCAUUAAUUUCUUGUUUCAAUUGCUCUAAUGCACUCUUUAAACACAAAGUAGAAUACAAAGCAUAUUGUUGACAAAACAUUUUUAUUUGUACUUUUCCCACUUCCCACCACUGAAUUAUAUCAUCAAAAUGGGCUUUUCCAACUUUCCCAAAAUAACUUACAUUUCUCAAUAAAAAGCUUGUCUUCAAGGAGUUUCACAUUUAAAUGCCAAUAAUAACUCUUGUGUGGUCUUGUAUCCAAAACACAAUCAAGUGUAAUAAGUUUAUGAUCAGAGAAUGACAUGGGAACAAUAGUUGUGUUUCUAACCCUGUUUCUCAUGUUUCUGGACACAUAAAAACGGUCCAGAAGUGCAGCAGAAAUCAUACCAGUGCUGACUUUCACCCAGGUGUACUGUCUUAUUAAAGGGUGGUGUUCUCUCCAAACAUCAAAGAAAUGUAGAUUCUCAAUCACACUAGCUAAACAGAGUGCUGCCUUCAAGUGUGGCUCCUCCCCAUUUCUAUCAAGUGUUAAAUCCAAUGUGCAAUUCCAAUCCCCGCCUAAAACAAUAAAAUCCUCAUUUUGAUUUUCCUUCAAAAAGUGUUUCAGCUUGGAAAAAGGCUUGAUUCUGUCAGUGCCAUUAUUAGGAGCAUAAAUAUUCACAAAACUGAAACAGAAAUUACCUACUUAUGCCCUUACAACUAACAGCCUUCCUGGUUCCAACUAAUGCUUUGAUACAAUUUUAGCUUUGACAGCCAGGGUGAAAAGCAAGGCCACCCCUGCACUUAAAUUAGUCCCAUGACUGAGAACAUGCUCUCCCUCCCACAAUAGCCCCCAUUCGUGUUCAUUGCUUUGGUUACUACAAGUCUCCUGAAGAAAUAUAACAUUCAAGUCCUUCAAUUUAACUACCUCAGUCAAUAAGUACGGAAGCCGCUAGGUGUCACCAUGCUGCAACGGAAGAAAACACAUGCAAACCGAAAAAACACCAGCAAAUUCAGAAAGCAUCUUCGUUAGUUUGACGACACAUUCCCUGCAAAAUCCUCGCAACACAAACAAAUACAGAAACGCGCUGCAAAUUCUCGCUACACAAACAAAUACAGAAAUGCGCUGCAAAUUCUCGCAACACAAACAAAUACAGAAACGCGCUUAGAGAAGAAAGUUCAGAAUCUGUAAAUUCACUUUUCCAAGUGCUGAGCAAGUGAUGUAUAAUCCUGAUAGACCUGACUCCUACAUGAGACUCCAGCCUUUCAGCAUUAGCCAUAUGAGGUCCACACAGAUCAGCAACCUGACCCAAAGUGGCAGUCCAGCCAGACGAAAGUGCUACAGCAUGAAGGUCCCUGCUAUUCGUUCAAUCAUUAAAACAAAUCCCAUGCAGAACUGGUUAUUUCAAGAGCCAUGUCAAGGAGCAACUCAUCCUCUGUUUGUGGAACAUUCCCCAGACAGUAAAAAGUCCAUGAUAAAACUUAUUACACAACUUAUACGUGUUCAGGUCCAUCAAAAACAAAGGCCCAGCAAGUAGUCUUUGAAUGAACUGUAGUCCGAAGGUAGCGCCCCUACUGGGGAGAUGAAUAAGUCCCUGUCCUCCUUCUUCCUUUGAUAAAAACAGCACGCUCUGAGGGAAAAUUGACCAGUACUGCUUGUAUCUUAACUAGCAGCUGUGGCGGAGGAUCCAUACAUAUCAAUCGGUGCCACAACAUAGAAGACACCUAAUUGUUGAUCAUUAAAGUGUGCCCCCUAAAAGACGUGUGGUAAAAUCCAUUUCCCAAUUUUUACACACAAAAGACUCAUCACCAAGAAAGACACCAAGAUACUUAAAACCACCUUUACUCUAAGAUAACCCAUCCGGUAAGGUUAUGUUUUUAUUUAACUCAACCCCAACAGCUAUGGCUUCGCUUUUUCCCCAAUUAACUUUAGCGGAAGAUAAACCAACAAAAUCAUUAAUGAAUUUUACAAGUGUAUCAAUAUCAUUUUGAUUCUUGACAAAAACAACUACAUUGUCAGCAUAAGCAGAUACUUUAAAAACUGAGUCACAACCAGAAAAAGUUAUGCUUGUAAGAAGCAUUCUUAGUUUAUGUAAGAUAGGCUCGAUGGCUAGGGAGUACAACAUACGAGAGUGAACAACCCUGCCUAAUACUGCUCUGAACCUUAAAAGGAGCACUUAAACAACCAUUAAUCUUAAGUAAACUCUCAAUGUCACUGUUCAAGACCUGGAUCAUGGCUAUAAAACUAGAGCCGAACCCAAACUUGUCCAAUGUUUGCCACAAGUACUGAUGUUCGACUCUGUCAAAAGCCUUUUCUUGGUCAAUAGAUAUCAAAUGAAUUAAGUUCAUAACCCAAUGAACUGGAGAGGUCCAAAACAUCACGAAUUAAGAUAAUAUUGUCAGAUAUCAGCCUGUUGGGUAUAGAAUAGGUCUAGUCCACAUGAACUACUUGCUCCAGCACUUUUUUCAGCCUCAUGGCUAUUACAAAUUACAAUUACCUUUGACAACUGCUUGUAGUCGGUACAUAGCAGAGCCACAGGCCGCCAAUUCUUAAUCUCUUGUAAAUCCCCUUUUGAAGGAAGGAGAGUGAGGACCGCUCUCCUUUUUUUACACUGUCUUCGAGUACAUGCAACAGGUCGUUGUCAAUAAUGGGCCAGAAAACUUUAUAAAAGUCCACAGGGAGUUCGUCAAUGCCUGAAGCUUUACCACUUUCCAGGCUCUGCAAAGCAAUGUGCAGCUCAUCUGCAGAGAUUUCAGCAUUCAGCCUUGUGUUGGCCUCCUCAGAAACCCUUGGUAAGCCCUCAAAAAAGGACUGUGCCACAUCUGGUCUCUCAUAGAACUCUUUCUUGAAAAGCUGCUCAUAAAAAGUCACUGCAUAGCUUCGUAUCUCUGCAGACUCAAACAACAUCUGCCCAGUGUUGGACCGUACAGAAUGAAUAAGUCUUUUCUGUCCAUUUUUACGUUCAAGGCCGAAGAAAAAAUGAGAAGGAGCAUCCAUCUUGACAACAUUCUCAAAAUGGGAACGGACCAGAGCACCUUGAGCAGAAAAACCCAAAAAGUUAGACAGAGGUGACCUUUUUGCUUUGAGAACUUUUAAAUGUUAUCUUUCUCUUGUGGAGCCUGCCAACUCUUGCAGCUUCACUAUUUCACUCUCCAGAUCCUUCAUAGAUCUGGUCAUAUCUUUUGUGACAUUGAAAGUGUACUGCAAACAUAACUAUUUUAUCUUACUCUUCCCUGUGCCCCACCACUGUUGUGAAGAAGUAUACUCAGAUUUUGUCUUUGUAUAACCAUUCCAAAAAAACUUAAAAGCAUCUCUAAAAACAUUAUCAGCAAGCAAUGCCACAUUAAAGUACCAAUAUUGUAUGCACUAUUGCAUUUCAAAUCCUUUUCAUUUACAUUUCAAAAAAGACCUCCAAACAUCACAUCGAUCAUUUGAUUCAAACACUUUUUACUGGGACCAUGUGGUUCUUGAUGGUUUCUAUCAACAGUUUCAUCUACAGUACAAUUAAAAUCACCACCCAGAACCAAAUAACUAUCAUCAUCACAAUCACUAAUAACAGAGCUUAACAUAACCCUUCAGUACAUACAGUUGGAGCAUACACAUUUAUAAACGUCAUUUUUACACUUUCAAAAACAGCAUACAUUUUAAGCAAACGGCUCUUAAUGAUUUCCUCAGUAACAUAAGAAAUUGGUAAAAAAUCUCUAGAAAAAAUAAACCAACUCCACCACUAUUACUGUUCUUAUGACUGAGAACAACCUCCCCAUCCCAUUCAUUCUUCCAAGCUGCUUCAUAUUCAACAGUGCUAUGCAUUUCUUGCAGAAAAAUAACAUUUAGUUUUUUUUACUUUAAACAGAUUGAAAAGAGAAACCCUCUUUACAUCCUCCCUGGUGCCAUUGAUAUUUAAAGAGGCUAGCUUUAUAUCACACAUAUUAGGUAAAAGCAGACCAGGGAAGUAAACCCAAAAUAAAAAGAAAAACAAAAUACACUUAAGAAUCAUUCGCUAUUUGUGCUUUAACUUUUACCAAGAAUUUUCUGAGCCGAAAAACUUUUCAGGAAAGGACCUCUGACCAGUGUUUUUCAUGAAUAGCUUAACUGAAUCACGAAACAACUUAAAAUCUGAAAAAAAAAUCAACUUUGACCAAUUUCAUUCCCUUUGUAGUAUGCAAAAAUGGCUGAAUUCUGGUAAAAGAGUAAACACUCUCCGCAUCCAUAUUUGCGUCAACACUGUCAUUACAUUCACUCCCCUAUGUGUCCAUCACACUUUCAUCUGACUGAGGAAGAAUUAUCUGUUGGGUUCACUUUUGAAAUUUUUGUAACCUGUAACAUUCGCACUGUUUUAUGUCUCUUUUCUCUUAGUUGCCAAUGAGGAAAGUUCGCUAUUCGCAUUUUCCUCAUCAAACAAUGCUGAUUCAUCUACUCUAGUCGCAAUUUGCCCUACCUUUAGUUCACUUUGUGCUUCCUGUUCACUUUGUUCUUCCUGUUCACUUUGCGUGUCCGCUAAAUGUUCCAUUGUCUCAACGUCUUCAUCACUAUCAUCGCUGUUUUCCUCUCGUGUAUUUUGUACAACUCUCUGCGAUUCCUUUAACGAGGGUCCGCUAGUAGUCGGCGGCUCCACCAUGCUAGCGGUUACCUGCCUCUCACCUAUUCUCUCCAUGCAACGAAUCACAUGGCCGACAGACACACCCAAAACACUUCAUCAUCUCCGAAGUUACAUGCACAGUAUAAUCAUAGCCAUCCAGUUUAAACUUUAAAACCAAAUUCAAUUCUUCGUUAGUGUUUAUAAGAAUCAUAAGCACUUGCCUUCUAAAUGACAUAACAUGUUUAAGAUGGGGAGAUUUACAGCUAAUCAGAACCAUCUUCAGCGGAGACACUAAUUGUCCGUGCCUCGCCAGCUCCUUUUCCAAAUAAAAAGAUCACCACAGCAUUAUUCAUUAUGGAAGCAAAUUUAAUACUUUCAAUGUCCAACAAUUCCAUCAACUGCAAGACUACAGUCCUCAACUGAACACCUGUUCGGUGGAGACAGUUUAAUAGCGUGUUGGUGCAUGAGCAAGCUGAGCUGUUCACCGGCAGCCAUGCUGACCAGCCACGCCGGCCAUCGCUUCACACACACAACAAUAUAACAAUUCUCCACUAAACACGAUUUCUUAAAAUACACAAUAGCAAAACAUUUUGAAAACCUCACAAACUUCAGUACGCUCCCGAUUGCACCAUCAUCGGCAUACGCUGGCAAUUUAAAAGUGUCAUCACAGUUUUUUAACGAAACCCCUUUUAAAAUUGUUCUUAAUACCAAGUUAAAGUGGUUCUAUUGACAGAGUGUGCAACAUUCCAGACAAUGAGCAUCCUUGUCGCAACCCACGUUCAACCUUAAAGGGCACAUAUUUUGCAAAAUUCACUUUUAUAAUGUGUUAAAACAUGAAUACGUGUCCACAGUGUCUGUAAACAAGCAGUCUAAAAUGUAAAAAAUGUGCUCACUCCUUUUUUAAUAAUUUGUGUAAUUCAAAAACGCUGUUGGUAAAAGCAAAGAUUUGAAUUCUGCCAUUAAUGUCGUCACUCAACGGCAAAGCCCGCCCAGCAGUGGUGACGAUCUGCCCUAUUUGCUUAGACACAGCCCCAUGUGGGAAGUACAACAGUCGCCAUUGUUAGAUCGUCACUGGAGCUACACAAUGUCUGCGCCGCGGAGGCACUGCAGUUGUUCUGUAUUAGGAUGUACCGACCAGCAUAAUUGUCUCCAUAGACUCCCGCAAGCUGAGUUAUAGAGAACAGCAAGAUUAAAUUUCAUUUAUGAAGGCAAUGUCCCGCUGAGAAUCGCUAAAGUAUUUCACGUUUCUGCCAAUCAUUUCACGCCGGACUGCUUCACGAAUGAGGGCCAGUACAACGCUGGACUUUCAACGAGGUUGCUACUGAAACCGGGAGCAAUACCAACACUUCGUGCCCAGUCCUCAUAUCCAGCAGAAGCAGUAACGUUAAGUAUCACACCUCAUAUUGUUGCUGAUUAGUCUUUCAAAAUUGCCACUCUUAAUGGGCUUGUUAUCGCGCUAUAUUAGUAAUGUUGCUAAGUUAACAAUAGAAGUACAGCGUCUAACUGUAUUUAUUGACGCUGCCCUCACAUGCUGUUGGGCUUAUCGUAAACAAUACUUAAAGAAAGUGUGACAGUACAUGAUAGAACAACGUUGAAAGCGUAGUAUAACUGUAGUAACGCUAAAUUAUACCUGCUCGACCUCCAUGUAGCAUUUAUUAUCUGGCUCUGUAGGCAUUUUACUGCAAUUCCCACAUGAGCACCUGCACAGCGAUUUAUACAUUAUCACGACGGACCAUGCUAAUGCUUAUCGAUCACUUGAAGAACGUUAAUUUCACAAUAACUGCAAAAUUACAACUAACCAUUCGGAAACGUCCUUUUCAAUUCUUAAGGUUGUCACUUCUUCUUGUGUCUCUCCAUCAGUGUCAGACUGGAGAGGGGGCUGGGAUGAAAAGCUCAUUAACAUUUAAAGAGAUACAAGCAAAUUCGGUGCGUUUUUACACACACUCAAAAACGGGCAACUUCAACAUUCUAUAAUAAAUAAUACGCUGGGUAUUUUGAGUUAAAACAUCACAUACACACUCUGGGGACACCAGAGGGGUAUUGCACAAAAGUAGAGUAAAGAAAUCCCGGAUAAUUGAGCAAGCGCGGCUUGACCUAGUCUGAUCGGCGCAUCCUGGCUUAAUUGGUUGCACGUUUGCUAAGCCAGGAUGACAACGCAAAGCUAGGUCAAGCCAGGUGUAGAUAGCUGGGAUGAGUGCACGUUCACGGCAUUCUUAAAUAGACCUCGCGAUCACUCACAGAAUCACCGAUGGGAACAUGGAUAAAAGUCGCGCUUCAUACUUCACGGCCGCUGAACAACAGCUCCUGAUGGAGUUCUAUGAAGAGGUUAAAGAUACCAUAAGAAAAAAGGCAAUACCAAUGCCAUAAUUAAAGAACGCGAGAAAGCCUGGCAGACAAUAGCGGACCGGCUUAAUGCGUAAGAAGUCCAAAACUGUACAGUUAAUAAACAGUGCUCCACUGGAACUGUCAUAAUUAGGCUACAAUUAAAGGACUAAAGGAGUUACUUUUCAAGUCCACUAAUCAACUGUUGUACACUUUACUUUAAAAGUGGCAAGUAGAGGUGCAUGUUACUCAGGAAAUGUAUAAUGAGUAUGAUUAAGUGCAAACAAUUAUCGACAAUGUAUGUCAUUUAAUCUAUUUUUCUCAUGUUAAGUUUUUAUCCAUUUUAUCUUUCUAUCCUUCAUAAAGAACAAACUUGUCUGGCCUUUAAAAUUAAAUAUAAGAACAUUUUGCAGGCUGGUAAGUGACUUUAAAGUAGAUAACAGUGAACAAAUGGGGUGAAUAGAUUAGGUGUCUGCUGACAUGUUGAAUGUCUGUAUGAUUGUAGCAGUUAAAAAAAGCCCAUAGAACUGGCACAGGGGGCGGCCCACCAAGCCAGGAUAUGACCCCAGCGGAGGAGCUGGCACUCCAUUUAAAUAAAGGGAGGCCAGUGAUGGAGGGGAUCCAGGGAGGGCCAGUAACAGACUCUGUCCCAGCCACAGAAACUGUCCGCUUCAUACAAGGGGGAAUGCACAUAUGCAGCUGCUGAAUGCACUUCUGCAGAUGAGGAGACUGUGUCACUGGACUCCAGAAGGCUUGAGGACCCAGAUGCUGCACAGUCUCCUAAGCAGCCUG